GAGAAAUAUAUCUACGACUACGAAGAUUGUUUUCCAAGCUGACGGCGCCAAUCUUCAAGAAACCACAUGCAGCUGUACAGCAGCCAAGGUUCUUUGCAACCAUCUAGUGGCCUUGUUGUUCCAGAGUGCCCAUUACAGCAUGUUGCAGGUGAGAGCUGUACCACCACCUAUGGCCUGCACAAGCUCUCUGCAAACAUGGCAUCGACCAAGGACUAAGGUAACAUUGUAGCUGCGCGGAGCUGCACCGUAUUGAAUAGACUUCCAGGCUAUUUUCAGCCGCGUUAUGAGCUGCCCCG